GACGGAGGGGGCAAUCGUUGUCCGGACUCACUGGGCGUAAAGCGUGCGUAGGUGGUGCGAUGCGUCGGCGCUGAAAGCGCCCGGCUUAACCGGGCGACGGGCGACGAUACGAUCGCACUGGAGGCAGGGAGACGUUGGUGGAAUUCCGGGUGUAGUGGUGAAAUGCGUAGAGAUCCGGAGGAAUGCCGGUGGCGUAAGCGGCCAACGAGUCCUGACCUGACACUGAGGCACGAAAGCGUGGGGAGAAAACCGG
rnacentral:rRNA from 1 species